rnacentral:sRNA from 1 species
AUGUUCGGAUAUGUCUGCUCCGUGUGUGCUUUAGUGACGUACAUGCGUAUAUACCACCGGCACGGAGAGGAUCCUAGGGAGAGAAAUAUUACUAUAGACGAGGCAUUAAGUCUUUUUUCCACGAGACUGAAGACAGUUUUGAGAGACGAAAGAGCCAAUUUUAAGCAGAAAUUGGAGGAACAGGUCUCGGACAUUAGACGGGAAAUAGUCAUUCGGAAGUCAGACAAUAAAAGUGCGACCAACUUCAAGUAUUCAGGUUGUAAAAAUCAGUUUGAAUUUAAUUCUCAAAGAAUUUCAGAAUUACAGCUAGCGGACGAUUAUCUGAGAAUUGGUAGAAUUGAGGACGCCAGUGAAAUUUUGAAGCAGGCCAAAAACAAAUUGUCGGAACGCAACACCCACGUAAAGAUAGUAGACAAGUAUGGAUGGGAUACGUUGGAGGAAUAUUUGGGCGAUGAUCUUAUUGAUGGUCCUGAUGAGGUGGCUAAGCUUAGGAAAGCAGAGUCACGCGCUAUCAAACGCAGAAAAGAGAGCAAGGACAAAAAGCCGUAUGACAAAAACGAUUCUGGACCAAGCGCAGUCUUGCGGAAUGAUCUUUUUCGUGUCGAGAAGACAGAAGCUGUCCGACAGUAUUUUAACACUGGAUACGGUUACCCACAGUCAGCGCCGGGGAGUUGCCCCCCUAGGAUUUGGUCUGGACCCCAACCGAACACAAGAUUCAACUAUCCCAAAUCUACGGUGUGUUGCUACUGUUUCAACGAGGGUCACGUCUCCACCCAGUGCCCCCUCAAGCUUCAACAAGGAACAGGCAGAGUGUCAAUGCCAACGGCAACCAUCUCUAAUCCGGAGACAGACAAGAAAAGCAAGUAG